CCAGGAUUGGAACUUCCUAUAGUUGGCAUAGGAGGUUGGCAUGACUGCCUUGGUCUGAAUGGUAUUGUCACAAUAAGCUCUAUAAAAAUUGUUGAAAUUAUUAUCAGUUAAUUAUUUUCUAGAGGUGUUAAAUUUCACUCAUAUCAGUAACCAAACAUAAUUGUUCAUAAGUGUUCUUACCAGUGACGUGCGUGAACUGAUGGAACAGAAGUAGACGAAGCAGCUACUUUUGAAACCAGUGCAAUUCCCCAAACAAGUGAUGGAAAUAUUUCCUCGUGUGAGAAAAUUUUGUCUGAAAUCACCCCCUCCACUAGUAAUUACCGUAAGCCCUGCAAACGUAAAAGGAACCCUGAGGCCCACGAAGCAUAUGAAGUUAUGAAAAAACUUCAAUAACGGAUGAAACAAAAAGAUGACUGUGAUGUAUUCGCUGAAAAUGUUGCUUGUCAGCUGCGUCAAAUCACCGAUAUUCGAUCCCAAAUGAUAGCAAAACAUAGAAUAAAUCAGGUUUUGUUCGAAAUUGGAAUGUCUCAAUUCGACAUUUCUUAUAACCCGCCAUCAAAUGGAUCUUCUAGGCCUUCAAGCGCUGGUCUGGACCACCAGUUUAAACCAAUAGCCGACACGCUCGCAGUCGUCAACAAUCUGGACAAUGGUGAUGACCCCGCAAAAAAUACCUAUACAGCAUUACAGUAAUUUUGUUUGUUGUUUUUGGCCCUUUUCAGUUUUUUUUAUUGACCUAUGUUAUACUUUUUUUUAUUUUUAAACUUUAAGUGGAGCCAAGUAGGCCUGCAUUCGUUUCUAAAUGUUUGAUAGACUCUAAUAUUGAACUUGUGGUUAUGUAACCUGUAACGUAUUAAAUAAAUGUUAACGAUAAUAAAGAUAUUGUCAGUGAUUAGUU